rnacentral:rRNA from 1 species
GAUGAACGCUGGCGGCGUGCCUAAUACAUGCAAGUCGAGCGAACAGACGAGGAGCUUGCUCCUCUGACGUUAGCGGCGGACGGGUGGGUAACACGUGGAUAACCUACCUAUAAGACUGGGAUAACUUCGGGAAACCGGAGCUAAUACCGGAUAAUAUAUUGAACCGCAUGGUUCAAUAGUGAAAGACGGUUUUGCUGUCACUUAUAGAUGGAUCCGCGCCGCAUUAGCUAGUUGGUAAGGUAACGGCUUACCAAGGCGACGAUGCGUAGCCGACCUGAGAGGGUGAUCGGCCACACUGGAACUGAGACACGGUCCAGACUCCUACGGGAGGCAGCAGUAGGGAAUCUUCCGCAAAGGGCGAAAGCCUGACGGAGCAACGCCGCGUGAGUGAUGAAGGUCUUCGGAUCGUAAAACUCUGUUAUUAGGGAAGAACAAAUGUGUAAGUAACUAUGCACGUCUUGACGGUACCUAAUCAGAAAGCCACGGCUAACUACGUG